rnacentral:rRNA from 1 species
UACGUAGGGUGCGAGCGUUGUCCGGAAUUAUUGGGCGUAAAGGGCUCGUAGGCGGUUUGUCGCGUCGGGUGUGAAAUCCUCGGGCUUAACUCGGGGCUUGCUUUCGAUACGGGCAGACUAGAGGUAUGCAGGGGAGAACGGAAUUCCUGGUGUAGCGGUGGAAUGCGCAGAUAUCAGGAGGAACACCGAUGGCGAAGGCAGCACUCUGGGACGUGACUGACGCUGAGACGCGAAAGCGUGGGGAGCAAACAGG